AGUGAACGCUGGCGGUAGGCCUAACACAUGCAAGUCGAACGGCAGCACAGUAAGAGCUUGCUCUUACGGGUGGCGAGUGGCGGACGGGUGCGGAAUACAUCGGAAUCUACUUUUUCGUGGGUGAUAACGUAGGGAAACUUACGCUAAUACCGCAUACGACCUACGGGUGAAAGCAGGGGAUCUUCGGACCUUGCGCGAUUGAAUGAGCCGAUGUCGGAUUAGCUAGUUGGCGGGGUAAAGGCCCACCAAGGCGACGAUCCGUAGCUGGUCUGAGAGGAUGAUCAGCCACACUGGAACUGAGACACGGUCCAGACUCCUACGGGAGGCAGCAGUGGGGAAUAUUGGACAAUGGGCGAAAGCCUGAUCCAGCCAUACCGCGUGGGUGAAGAAGGUCUUCGGGUUGUAAAGCCCUUUUGUUUGGAAAGAAAAGCAGCAGGUUAAUACCCCGCUGUUCUGACGGUACCCAAAGAAUAAGCACCGGCUAACUUCGUG
rnacentral:rRNA from 1 species